GGAAAAGUUGAAGGUCUACCUAAUCCAUCUGUUAUUGAACAUAGUAGUAAUAUGGAUCAAAUUGUGGCCCCAGCAUUAGAAGUUCCAGAAGUUUCCGUGCAGUCAGAAUCAAACUGCGGUCUGAGCAAACCUGGCAGGAAAACCAGGCGUGGGGUUGGAAGAACAACUUCUGUCAAGACAGUUCUUGAAGAUUCAAAACUUGUACUUGGUAAAGCAGAAGAGGCAAUUAAGGGUAAGAAGCCAAGUGGAGUGAUUGGUGUUUCUAUUGGUGUGGAUGAAGGACAUGCAGUUGUUGGUAGUAUGGAUCCAAUUGUGGCCCCAGCAUUAGAAGAUGCAGAAGUUUCCGUGCAGUCAGAAUCAAAUUGCGGUCCUAGCAAACCUGGCAGGAAAACCAGGCGUGGGGUUGGAGGAACAAAUUUUGUCAAGACAGUUGUUGAAGACUCAAAAGUUGAAGCUCUACCUGAUCCAUCCGUUAAUGACCAUAGUAGUAAUAUGGAUCAAAUUGCGGCCCCGGCAUCAGAAGUUCCAGAAGUUUCCAUGCAGUCAGAAUCGAAUUGCGGCCCCAUCAAACCUGGCAGGAAGCCUAGACGUGUAGGUGGAAGAACAAAUUCUGUCAAGACAGUUGCUGAAGACUCAAAAGUUGAAGGUCUACCUAAGCCCCCAGAAUCAGAAGUUCCAGAAGUUUCCAUGCAGUCAGAUUCAAAUUGCGGCCCCAGCAAACCUGGCAGGAAACCUAGGCGUGUAGGUGGAAGAACAAAUUCUGUCAAGACAGUUGUUGAAGACUCAAAAGGGGAAGGUCUACCUGAUCCAUAUGUUAAUGAACAUAGUAGUAAUAUGGAUCAAAUUGCGGCCUUAGCAUCAGAAGUUCCAGAAGUUUCCGUGCAGUCAGAAUCGAAUUGUGGCCCCAUCAAACCUGGAAGGAAACCCAGGCGUGGAGGUGGAAGAGCCAGUUCUGUUAACACAGUUGUUGAAGACUCAAAACUUGUACUUGGUAAAGCAGAAAUGACAAUCAAGGGCAAUAAGGCAAGUGGAAUGACUGAUGUUUCUGCUGGGAUGAGUAUGGGCAGUCGAGGAGAUUCUAUUGGUGUGGAUGAAAGACCUGCAGCUGUUGGUAGGAAACAGUUACUCUCUCAUGCAUCUAAUACCACUGCAAAUGAACAAGAUGUUUAUAGCAGUGAAGCUACCUCAGUUAGUGUCACGGCAAGUGGGAGCAAGAAGAGGAAGCAAACUGUUAGUAGUGGAACACAAGUUCCUGUUGAAAACCGAUACAAUCUCAGGCGGCGCAAAAUGUAGGUUCUUACAUCUCUAUUUUCAGGCCAGAGAAGGAACCAACAGAUGACUUGGAUUUGGGAAUGAUGUAUCAGACAGCUAGCAUAUCUGUCUGAAUUUUGAAUAUAUGAAUGGAGAUGACUUGGUUUUCGGUAGUCUGAAUGGUUUUGAUGCAGGUGAUUGCUUUAAGACGUGGCAUGGGAGUUUAAGAUUUUGUACCAAUAGGAUGAUGUUUAUAAAGAGGAAGAUGAUUUUGUGUAGAAUGACUGGGAAGUUUGUUUCUCAACAUGGAUUUGUUCCUACUUGUGUGACAGUCAAAAGUUAGGUUGUUUCUGAGCGUACUUCACUUCUGGUGAUAUGUUUUACUCAAUGUUUUCCUUUCACCUAGGUUUUUAGCCAUGCCUGUUCAGCAAACCUGCAACUCUAUGUAAUAUUGUUUCAAGUAUUUUAUCAUAAUUAUGUAAGAUAGGUUUUAUUUUACUUUUGUGUGGAGAAAUAAAAUCGCCAUUGCAUGGUUGUUGCUUCUCAUUGCGAGUCAUUGUGCCCACUUCCCACAUCAUCUCUUUUGUCUGCAGAAUCCAUC
rnacentral:lncRNA from 1 species